CAACUUACUCUGGUGAGCUUUGUUGAGAGUAGAUUUUUUGAGGAAAGAAUUGAAGGAGUGGCCAUAUUCAUACUAGAAUAAAACAUAGGAGAUGUCAAGAUUAUCUGAAGAAGGGGAGAGAAGAGACACCAGAUACUUGCAGACACAGAAGAAAUACCAUGUGCAAACAUACCCAGAAGACCACCAUCUGCAAGAGAAGGAGAGAGACCUCAGAAUACACCAAUGCUGCUGAAACCUUCAUCUUGGACUUCCAGCCUCCAGACUUUGAGAAAAUAAAUUUCUGUUGUUUAAGGAGCGCAGUCUAUGGUAUUUGGUAA
rnacentral:lncRNA from 1 species